UGACGUCACGGGCCACCCGCCAGCCCCGCGCUCUACCAGGCAGAGCGCGUGUGGCCGCCGAGCACAUGGACCCACUGGUCAAGCGGGCUCGGCAAGGCCAGGAUGAAGAGAAGCUACGAACUUAGCAUUCCCAGAGCCCCCCGAGUGGAUAUCCGCGUGGAAAGGAUGUUGGCAGCCCCGGUGACCUCGGAGUCACGGCUGGAUCCACCCUCUUGUCUGAUUUUCUUAACUCUACUACGGUAAGAAGAUGCCCUCCAUCAGCAGGCCGUGUCUGCUGGGACCUCUCUGGAGACUUCCUGAACCCUGUGGAUUUACAGUAAGAUGCAGUUUCCUGGGGAGUAAUUCUGGUGGAUACAAAUUCCGGAGUAUUACACCUGGCUUGCCUGGAGAUGUUACAAGUAGCUGGAUGGAUUCUUCAGCCUGGAUGCCCACUGAAAACAAGGACCGAAACUAAGAGGAUUGUAUCUCUACCCUUGACUCAAUGAGAAUGUUUGUUGUCAUCUCUCGGGCUACCUGGAGCUCCCUCUAAAAUGUAAGCCCCUAAGACCCAUCUCCUUUCAAUGCAGUGUUUCUGGGAGCCGAGUUCUGUCACCACAGACAUUGGCAGUGGCACUUGCAUGCCCCUGGCAAGCAGUCUAUCCUGAGGUGGAGGAAGUUGCCCUUGAGUUCUGGCUGGUAACCAGCACAGGGGCUGGGACACUGCCUGAUUGAGGUGGCCAUUGAGAAUUCAAGUGUACCUCUUGGUCCCUGAUGCAGAAAUGAAGUCCCCAGCAUGCUCAAGAAGAGCUUCCUUGGAGGAUGAGAGGCAUGGGAAUCUAAGGAUACCCUUUAAGCGUUCCAGAAGGAUUUUGAGAUCCUUUCCUAAAUCAAAGGUGGAAUAUUUGGGGAUUUGGAAAAUUGAGGAUUUUUUUCCCCACUUGCUUGACUGUAAUGCUAACAUGCUCUCUCUGCUCCAACCUGGAGAAGCCAGUCUCUCAGAAGAACCAGUUGUGUUACUUUGCUGUGAGAUGCCUGCCCUAAGAGAGGAGCAGAAGGUCGGAACGGGUCCUCUAAUGUGAUAAUUAGGUUGUUUGACCAUGUGGACUUGGUUCAAAAUGCCCAUGGAUGCUCCUUUGGGUACCAGGCUUCAGUGGGAGUCCCAAGCCCAUGUCUUUAUUUGAGCAUGAGCAGUACUGAUGCUUACCUAGUCUUAUUCUUUCCUUGCCCCCUGCCUGGACCGUCUCUGGUUACAAGGAUGCUGCAGUGGGAAGCGGUAUGACCGUUACCUUUAUGGGACUGAGACCAACUAAGGGGAGGCUGAGGAGGCUGCAGUGAAGUUAUUGUUGGGACUGUGGGCUAAGAUGGAAGAUAACAUGUUAACAAACUCAAGUGCGGAGGUCUCAGAAGUAAAAUUGCCUGGGUCUUCAGCCAAGGGAUGAGAACAGCGCAUGCUGCUGCUGCUGAUUCUGUGUGCUCAGGGCCCUUCUGUGGAGGAGCAGGAGAAUAGGUGGACUGGAAGCAGCUGGCUCACUUUGCAGGAUGUUGGAACCCCCAGACUGCUGUAGAUAUGGAAAGAAGACACUGAGUGGUGGGGAAGGCAUGGGGAGAUGCUCUGAGGUUUUCUUCUUCUUCUUCUUCUUCUCAUUUUUCUUUUUCUUUAAAAGAACAAAAAACCCAACAAACAAAAAUCCCGAAGCAAAAACCCUUUUAGGUGUAGUUACAAAUAUUUUAGGUAUCAGAGAGGGGACCCUAUAACAGAAAAGCACCCCAAGAUGUUCUUCUCAUCUUCUCCACUGAGGGAGACAACCAGUACACCUAGGUUAGGCAGUCACAUCCUUUUCUCUUGGAAAAAGGAAGAACCUAAAGACAAAGAAACUGUGAACGGAUUGUGUGUGUGUGUGUGUGUGUGCGUGUGUGUGUGUGUGUGCGCGCGCGCGCGUGUGUAAAAGUCACUGCUAUAAAUCUAAACAAGGCUUAUUUUUAUGUUUGUUUGUCUUGUUUGUUUUUGAAAAAGUUCUAAAACAACAGGAAGGAAAACACAUGGAAAGAAAGCCCUGGUGGAGAUCUGGUUAACUGUGGAAGAGAGGCCCUUUGUAAAGAGAAUAUAAAAUGCACUGGACCCCUUCCCCAGGCAGGCAGGACCCAUUCCCGCCGCCUCCAUUCACCCUCUCAGCCACCCUCCGUUCUCAUGCCCUGUCACCCUUCUGCAAUCCUUUUAAACCCCGCUCUUGUGAUGUCACGCCGAUCCUCCUUCGCCCCCGCUGCCGGAGAGAGCUACUUGGUGUCCAGUUUGGCCAUCUCCUGCACGUAGAUGCCGAUGCUCUCGCUGUCGAAGAGCAGGAAGUACACAUUCUUCAGCGAGGACGAGCCCGAGUCGUCCUCGAAGUGAGCCGAGAUGGCCUUGAGGGUCACCUGGGCGGCCUGGGGAAGCAGUUUCUGCCACUGGGGAACGGUGGGAAGGCGACGGAUUUAAGCUUCUUAUCCUCAGCUGCAGACAGGCAGUUUUUGAUGGUCUCUUCCAGCUGUUCUUCACAUUUGUCAGAGCCCCACCGGGGGAUGUGACAGUGGAUGACAAAUUUGGCUGCGAGUCCACUGGAUUGGCUGACGGCAGCUUCAGCGAUUUCUAAAGGGCCUUGGGACUUGCGAAGCUCCUUUACUGUUUCCAAGAACUCUUUACCCCCAGCCUUUUCCAAGGCUUUCCCUAUCUCUUCCUUGAGGUCGAUCUCAGCUGUGGUUGGAUGGACGAUGCCCUCCACCCUCAUGGAGCCAAUAUGGCUGAUGUCACUCUGGGUCAGGGAUAGCUUCUGCCCCAGAACGUGGCUCUUCGAAGACAAGAUGGUGAAGCCAUCCCCCGGCACAUCCUCCGAGGUGGAAUUUGAUGUUCCUUCUUUAUUGCUGUCCUUUGCUUUAGACUUCUUCGACGUCCCUGGCUUGGUGGCCUUGGAUUUCUUAGCCCCCUUCUUGCCUGAUGUGGCCUUCCUUCCUCUUUUCUCUGGGGGUGGGAGAGGAUUGUCUCUGACUUGCCUUUGGUCCCUCUUCUUGGCCAGCAGUUCGUGGAGAAUUCUCGGCAGGACACCCCCACUGGCGAUAGUCACUCCUUUCAGUAGCUGGUUGAGUUCCUGGUCGUUGGCAACGGCCAGCAGGAUGUGUCUGGGGGCUAUCCGGGCCUUCUUGUUGUCCCUCGCAGCGUUCCUGGCCAACUCCAGGAUUUCCGCUGCUAGGUACUCAGUGACCGCAGCCAUGUAGACCUGAGCACCUACGCUGAUCCUGUACUUGAAGGUUCCCUUUUUCAGGCUUCAGAGAAAUCAGGAGCGGUGAAUGAUCGAAAUGGACCUUUGAGAUUACAGUGUGGAGCUGACAUUGCCAGUUAAGCCUGGGCAGAUCUGACUUAAUUGAUUUAGUUGUUGGAGCAGAGACAACCCAGAGGCUUGGAUCAGCCUCCCCAUCUGACAGUGUGCUGGUGUGAAGCGUUGACUUAAGAGAUGCCAAGUAACUCAGCAGAUGUCACACAGACGAUAAAUAGCAAAGAUGGAAGUCUUCAUGCCGGAGGCAAUCCUAUAAGACAGCUGAGUUCUGCAGAGCUGGUAGGAGACAGACUUGCUCAGGUGAUAGAUCCAGCCAUGAUACUGACCCUAAGAGAAUGAGACGCUCUGCAGAAGACAGAAGAUUCCUGAAACUGGGAAAGGUGCCUAGAAAUCCUGAUAAGAGUGAAGAAGGAGCUGGCAGAGCAGCCUUCCUCCGCACUAUGAAAGACAUCCAACAGAGAGCAAGUUCCCACCUCACUUCCAGCUUGACUCCUUUUUAUCUCCUAACUGUGGUCUGUGAUGUCUUCAGCAAUGGUAUUAACUAGUUCUGGUUUAGCAACCCAUUGCUUUUAAAGCAGCAUUUUCGAGUCAUAGGGUACCUGGAGGCACAGCAGCCAUGUUGAACCUAUGAGGUGAUGAAAAACCAUGCAACUAGAAACCAGAAUGGAAGAAAAGAAGAAGCUGGAUCCUUGACUGAAUUGUCGAUGGGGGAUAGUCCAUCAUCCCAGGGCUAAGACCACCUCCAGAUUUCUUGUUUGGUGAAACAAGUCCUGAUUGUUUACAUUCCCUCGUGUUGAGCUGUCUCUUGCUUGUAGCUGAAAGCAUUUCUAAUAGAUAUUCAGAUUAUCAGCCUUAGCUCCAAGCUAGAAUACUCUAUGGGACCUUAGCUUCUCCAUGAAUUCCUUUGCUCAUCUGUGUAAUGCUCAAUAAAUGUAAAUUGAACCCUGAAUGAGGGACAAUGACACUAUUGAAGUCAUGAUUGUCAAUCUUAUUAACGGACUAACUACUUAACAAAAAGGUUGGAACACUGCCUGACGCACAGUAAGCGGCUGGGGAAAGGGUUUGCCAAAUGGAGUGACAAGAAAACAGUCAUGUUUAUAGGCUUUCUUUUACAUCUUGAUCCAUCUUCAAGCCUCUGUGGUCUUUAAGCAGAACCUUGACCCCUUCAGUACUGGGGCUCCUGGAGCAUGACACGCCCCCUAAACUCUUGUCUCAAAACACCCACUCUAGCAGUUUCUUUUUGACAAAAAAAAAGCCUUCUUAGUGAAUGCUGGCUUGUGAAAAAGAAGGGGCUGUGAUCAUCAAAUCGUGUUAGUAGAUGACCAAAAUACCCAAAGCAAUUCAUGCAAAUAGAUUCAAGUCUCUCUGGGCAAGCCUUCCUGAAGGCUCUAGAAUUUCUGAAGCUCAUUUUUGAAAGGGUCUUUCCAUAUGGUGGCCUUUUUCUUUUUUGCACCUCCUCCCUUCUUUCUCAUCAGAGCUAAAGGGAUGCUCAGACUCUCUGUCCUUUCUGUGUAGUGAGGGACCAGGCUGCUGGGCGAGUGUGAAGGAGCGAGUGUGAUUUGGGAUAUUCUUUUCUGGUAUGGCAAUGGCCAGCCUUUAGAGAGGUCAUUUGAAGUUGGCCAACAAGUAGACAUUAUUUCAAAAUAGUUCUUGAUCAUUAAAGAACCAACCAGUAUGUCUUAAAAACAAACAAACCAAUCUUUUGGAAAGUUUCUGCUGAAUGUGUGCCCUUCCGACUCACUUCUUAUCCUUUCUGUCAGAAACACCCCAGAAAAGGGGGUCUUGCCUUUGAACCACUCUGCUACUUUAAUCUUCCUGCUUCUGUCUGACCUACCUUCCUUCUUUCAGUAGCCAGGAUCCUUUCAGAGUGAGCUCCAAAAGGUGGGGAUUCUCCAGCCACGAGUGCCCUCUGAAAUUCUAUCUUACUUAGAAUAAAAUAUCUAGAUUUAUACAGUGUCCCCUUGUAUGGGUGGUGGCUUUUUUUUUUUUUCUAUCAUUUUCCUGCUUGUUCACACCACUCUCUCCCUGGCCUUCUUAUGUCACAGAUUUCCUGAGUACACUCUGGCCUCAGUCUUUCCAUGAAGUAACUCUCCUUUCUAGAACAUUCUUGCCUGCAUAACUAUCUGCUUCUGUCCUCACUGUAUUCUGAUCUGUAUUUCUAUGUCAAUUUCCAGACAGGCAUUCUCUGCCCAUCCUCUAAAGUGUGCCCCCUGUCUUCUUUGCUGUUACCUGUAUGCCCUAAGUCUAAGUCACUGACCUUAUUGUAGACUAAAUUUGUUAGCAUUUCUUUCCAGGAUGCAAGCCUAGUGAUGAAGGAGUCAUUGUUCCAUUGUCAGAAUAGCUACAGAAUCCAGCCUGUUCUGCCCUGGAUGCUUUAUUAAGUAAUGAAGCUCAAUAAAACAAUUUGACCAAGCUCGGCUCUCCAGUGUGGUUUUCCAACAGGAGUCAAAUAUUAAAGGACAUGAGCGUGUUGGGGAAAAAGAUGGAUAGUGCUAAACAGCCUGAGUUCAUCCUCACUAUCCUCUUCAUAAGGAGAGCAAGAACAACCCCGGAAAUGGCUCAUGCUUAAGGUUUCUAACCACGGUCACACCUACAACACACUGAUUGACAAUAUAGGUUACAGUACACAUGGCUCUGCUAUUUGCUUUUUGGUCACUUUGAUAUUCCCUGGUACCUGGGAAGAAGGAAUCUCCGUUGAGGAGUUGCCUACAUUUGAUUAGCCCGUAGGCAUGUCUCUGAGGCCUUUUCAUAGUUGCUAAUUGAUGGAGGACAGCUUAGCCCACUGUGGGUGGUGCCAUCUCCUGGACAUGGGGUCCUGGCUUAUAUCAGAAGGGAAGCUAAGCAUGCGCCUGGGAGCAAGCCAGUAAGUAGGUCUCCUCCAUGGUCCCUGUCUCUGCUCCUGCCCUUAAUUUCCUCAGCGAAUGACUGAUGCAAACAUGUAAGCCAAACAAACCCUUCUUUCCUCUCUGUUACUGUUGGUCGUGGUGUUUAUCACAGCAAUAGGAAAAAACACUAGGGCAGUGACGUAUAAGAGUGCACUGUGCCAUUGUGAGGAUUCAAUAUCCUUAGCGAUCUUCAGAAAAAGUUUACUAUGGUGCCUGGAGCAUUGUUAUUUGCAGAGAUCCCUAGUGGCUCCUGGGCCUCAGUUUCCCUGUCUUCAUUCUGUCUGUAUUAUAUAAGCAUGGUGUCCAUAGCUCUAGCUCUUGCUUAAUGAUUCAACUGAGUAGGUACAACCAUGCUGACCAGCCAUGACAUGUCCUGCCUGGCCAUAGCCUGGAGUUGGACACAGAAACAGGGGCAUAGCUGCCUACUGUGUGUGGCACAGUGUGUGUCAAACUCCUGGAGGCAGCCAGGCAGCCAUCUCUAUAUUCUUCCUAUCAGAAUUCCUUUCACAGGUCCAAGCCAUCUUAAGAUGGAUAAAGGCCUGGCCUUCAGGCAAGGCUAUGCCUGUCAGUUCCGAAUCUCCAGCUAAGUGGACUUGCAGCCCUCCCUGUCCUCUGGAUGUCUGCAUCAUUCAUACAAGGGACACGUUCUCUUUAGAGAAGAGCGUCUUCUGGGCUUCUCCCAGGUUGGAAGUGUCCUCUACUUCUUUCUUCCUGGCAAAAGCACUGGCCUAAGCAGCUCAGGAACAACCUACAAUAGAGGGAGGGCCUCUUACCUCGGAUGGAAGUGGAAACAUAGUCUCCACGUUGGAACUGAGUCUUGGUUAUGCUCUGAGAAGUAGCCUGGAUUUCUAAGAUCUCAUGCUCAUCGUUUUCUCUGGAGGCCCAACUCUGUUCUCAUGAGCCCUGGCACGUUCCCUACCAGCAUCUUUGUUUCCUAUCUGAGGAGUGCGGAUGAUGCUUCUCCUGGUAAGGGGUAUGAAUAGAAUUCCUGCCUGUGUUCUAUGUGCUGAAUCCCAGAGCCUAGAGUAGGGCCUGGGCUCUGGCGAUUGACUGGUAAACACUUGUUUUGGAAGAGAUAGUAGAGUCUUUGGAGUUCCUGGCACAAUCUUCUUGGAUAGUUGCCUGUGCCCGUUCUAAACCAGGAUCUGACUAAUUACAACUCCUCCUGCUUGCAUUAAAGUUUUAUUGGAACAUGGCGGUGUUCACGGUUUUAUAUGAUGUCGUCGAGCUUCUUUGCUCCCGCACUGGUAAAUUUAAUAGUCAUGAGAGAGAUAUGGCCGUGAAGCCUAAAAUAAAAACUAUGUGGCACUUGGUUACAAAAAUUGGGCUCCUGUUUUACAUAUCAAGGCCACCUUGUCUGACAGUGAUCAUGGAUUUUGUUUUUUCUUGCGCAGGUGCUUGGGGCAAUUAUAAGUCAGAAAUCAGAAGUGAGCUGGUCACCUUGAGGUCCAUAUUUUGCUUGCUUUCUCUAUGAUAGUUAGAGUUUCAUCGUCACUUUAUUUUGUCCUUUUAACUCUGUCCUGGCCCUGUUCUCCCUUGUAAGGUGUUACUUUCAUUUCUGUCUAAAGAGAAACUGAACCCACCUGUUAACUGCUGGCCUUUUCUUUAGGGACUGACCUUAUGCCCUAUAAGAGGGCCAGGGAACUAAAAUGGACAUAACACAGUAGAGUCUACUUCAUAGAUUCAAAGGCUGGGAUGCUAGGAAGUCCAGGACAGAGUCCAGGAGAGAAUAGAGAAUAUACAGAGUGCUCUUCUUUUCCAGCAUCCCAAAUGGCACCUUGGUCUUCUUGGAGUCAACUCCCCCAUCAUUAAAAUGGCCACAACAAUGUCCACUAAUCUGGUUCUCAUGGUGGCUGAAGCAUGAGAUGUCUAUUGCUCAGAGCACAACAGAGUUGUUAGAUAACAUUUAGAAUCUUUACUAUAGUUUAGAUGUGAGACGUUUAAAAAGAUCUCUGCUAUGUGCUCUUAAUCUCUAUAAUGGUCAACAGCCACCACUGAGAGCUAAUUAGGUAGGACCUUGUUUCUGGCCUAGUGAGGGACAUCUUCCUAGGCUAAGAAGCAUCUGUGAAGUACCUUGAGAUCUGGUCCUGGAGGCUGCUUGUCCUGUUGCUAGCCAAGCAAUCCUAUGGGUCAGAGUCACAGCAUAAUAUAGCUAUUAGACAAUUUUCUUUUUCUUUUUUCCCCCAUCCAGAGAAUAAUAAGCUCUCAAGUUCCUCCACCUCUAGCACAAGACUACACAGGGAUAUCUAUAGCCUACAGAACUCACUGAGAACCCCAUAUCUGAGACUCAGGGAAGGAGCCAAGCUCAAGGCUUAGCUUGGUUGGCCAGUCAAGAUUUUCAGGUGAUCAGUGAGCUUUCUCUGUCUCAUUUGUGGUCCAUUGUAAAUGAUCUAGAACUGUUUCUGAGUGUGUAGAGGGUGGCUUACUCUGAGAACACUUUUGCCGGUAGGCUAAUAGCUUCCAAUGAGAGGUCCUUGAGAGUAGGAUCCCUUGUGCUUCUGCCCUGGCCAUGGAACUUCAGAGGUCCUGGACCUGUGAGCAAGAACACUGUUGUUUUGUUUUGUUUUUACUCCUAGCACAGGCAUGAACUCCUGCACUUGAUUCUAGUCCCGCAGAACUUGUAUUGCUGGUGUUUGUGAGUGGCUGCUUUCUAGAAAGCAAUAUCUUUACCCUUGCCCUCUUAGAGGUAUACGGGGAGAGAGAAUCAGAACUCCAGUUUACAUGCAGCUAGAGUUCUGAGGUAAAGUGACUCACUUAGGGCCACCCAGAAAAGAGCAGUUUGGCUGUCCUCCCAGGCCCUCUCCCUCUGAUCAUCCAAAUAUGGUAACACAUGGUGACACAGAGCCACAUGCUCCUCCUGGGUCUUCUGAGGCAGAGAGCUUCCAGGGACACUUUGGAAUGAAGGAAAUAGAAUCCAAGAGACCUCUUUCAGAGACCGCCAAGCAAAUCUUCUCAAGAAUCCUGGCAGAAUGUUGUCAUUCUCUCUCUGAAAGGGGUGGCUCUUGGGAUACUGUCCAGGUCACUGUGAACACAUAGCAGAAGAAAUGUCCUCCCAGCCUGCAGGGACCACCUUUUUCCAGGCCUUCCUCUGCUGGAAGCCUUCUUUACUCAACGCUUUCCCCUUUGAUAGUCACCUCGACUGACCUUGAAGCCUCCUUCAGUUUUCUCUAUACACAGAAACAGAAUGUCAGUCUUUUUUUUUUUCUUUUUUCAAGAGUGACAUAGAGCAUCAAUGGGAGGGGAGGUCCUUAGUCCUGUAAAGGUUCGAUGCCCCAGCGUAGGGGAAUGCUAAGGUAGUGAGGCAGGAGUGGGUCAUGGAUCCCUACCUGGGUGAUAUAAAACAAAAUAAAACAAGAAUGAAGAAAUCUGGAAACAAAGCUAAGAAGUAGUUCAUGAGUCUAAGAGUUGCAACUGAUUUCUUAGACAUGACAAAGAAGAGAAGAUGACAGGCUACUUAAAUGGAAGGAACUUAAAUGAAUUGUCAAGUCGAGGCUGCAGAGAUGGCUUGGAAGUUACAAGUGCUUGCUGCUGUUGCAUAGGACCAAGUUGUGGUAGCACAUUAAGGAUGGAGCCUAUGGUGAAGUAGAAUCCCACUUUCUCUGCUUGGUAAGGAAAAGGAUGGCACUCAACGGUGAGAUGAUCAUUUACAAACAACAGUGGAUACAUUGAAUGUGGGCCCUACGGUGAUAACCUGAUGAGAUUUCAGUGAAAUGAUGAGGGCCCCACCAACGCUCACCACUGCACUUCAUAAUGCCUUGGACAUUUUGACUUUCUGAAUAGUCAGGGCUGGUCUUCCAUUUGAGUCUACCAAGCGAGAGGAUUCCCUGAGACACUUUGCAAGCCUCCCUGCUGUGAAAGAAGAGGACUAUGUUUGGAAGGCUUCAGACUACACUCAACAGUGAGUGAUGGGCAGAGGUGGCUGUGUGCUUUGUCCCAUUAUGUAAAGAAGACACAACCUUUCAGUUAUCUUCCACAGUUUCACAGCUGUGACUUACUGAAGACCAAAUCUGGCCAUGCUACUCUAUGCCUAACAUCUUCAGGAUCAAGACCCAGCUCUAGAGUAAUUUUGUCCACAGUCAUGCCUUUCCCCCACUUCUCUCUCCGCACUGCCACAACUGUCAACUUGAUACAAGCUAAAAUUAUCAGUAAAGAAGAAACCUCAAUUGAGAAAACUCUCCCUACCAGAUUGGCCUGUGGAGCAAUUUCUUGGUUGAAGACUGAUGUUGGAGGACCCAUCCCACAAUGAUUCUGCCGUCCAUGGGCCAGUGGUCCUGAUUCUUGUUACAAAGCCAACUGAGCAAGCUACAAGAAGCAAGUCUUAGAAAGGAUUCUGCUUCAGUUCCUGCUUUCACGAACCUUCCAUGCUUGUUUUCCUGCCCAGACUUCCCUCAGUGAUGGAUCUUUAUCUAGAAGUCUAGUCUGAAAUAAGCUUUUGCUCAGUGUUAUAUUACAGCAGUGGAAACUCUAAGAUUCCACAUAUGUAUUGGUCAGGAUCUGGCAGAAUCUCUUAGGAGACAGUUGUAUCAGGCUCCUGACAGCAAGCAUCGGACUGAGCAUGGGGACCCCAUGGAGGAGUUAGAUGAAAGGCUGAAGGAGCUGAAGGGACCUUAUCUGGCAUCAAUGGGAGGAGAGGCCCUUGGUCCUGAGAAGGCCCCUUGGUCCUGUGAAGGCCUGAUGCUCCAGUGUAGAGGAAUGGUAGAGCAGUUAGGCAGAAAUGGGUGGGUGGGAGAGCAUACUCAUAGAAGCAGGGUAAGGGAGGAUGGGAUAGGGGGUUUGCAGAGGGGAAACUGGGAAAGGGGAUAACAUUUGAACUGUAAAAAAAAAUCCAAUUAAAAAAAUAAAUGGUAUUUAUCAGGCUCUGGUAGAGUCUCUCAAGAGACAGCUAUAUCAGGCUCCUGUCAGCAAGUACUUGCUGGCAUCCACAAUAGUGUCAGGGUUUGGUAGCUGUAUAUGGAUGGAUCCCCAGGUGGGACAGUCAAUGGAUGACCUUUCCUUCAGUUUCUGCUCCAAACUUUCACUCUGUAUGUCCUCUCAUGGGUAUUUUGAUUCUUCUUCUAUGAAGGACUUAUGUAUCCACACUGUGGUCUUCCUUCUUCUUGAGCUUCAGGUGGUCUGUGAACUGUAUCUUGGGUAUUCCGAGCUUCUGGGCUAAUAUCCACUUAUCAGUGAGUGCAUGCCAUGUGUGUUCUUUUGUGAUUGGGUUACCUCAGUCAGGAUGAUUGGACUGAACAAGGGUCCCCCAAUGGAGGAACUAGAGAAAGGACCUAAGGAGCUGAAGGGGUUUGCAUCCCCAUAUUAGGAAAAACAAUAUGAACUAACCAGUACCCACAGAGCUCUCAGGGACUAAACCACCAACCAAAGAGUACACAAGGAGGGACUCAAGGCUUCAGCUGCUUAUGUAGCAAAGGAUGACCUUGUGGGACAUCAAUGAGAGGGGAGGCCCUUGGCCUUGUGAAGGUUUGAUGCCCCAGUGUAGGGGAAUGCCAAGACAGGGAAGCAGGAGUGGGUGGGUUAAUGAGCAGGGGGAGGAUGGAUGGGAUAGGGAGGGUUUAGGUGGGGAAAUGAGGAAAGGGGAUAAAAUUUGAAAUGUAAAUAAACAAAAUAUCUAAUAAAAAUGAAAAAAUAAAAUAAAUUGUAUAUAAUAAGAAUAAAAAAACCUACCUUAGCUGCCUUUGAUGUUGCUUCUCUUUACGUACACAACCCUAAGAUUCAUUGUAUUGGGACCUCCAUGCCAACGUGUUCUACAUUUAAGAAUUUAAACACCUCAGAAUAAAGAAAAAUUUACAUGUCUA
rnacentral:lncRNA from 1 species